CUUUAAUCCAAUCAUGUUUCAGUUAGAUGUAACAGUUUGAAAAUGACAGCACUUGGCCCUCUGAUAAAUGAAACCUAGCUCAAAGUUCUUGAUCAUUCUGCCUCUGUAUCUCUUAGGCCACCCAAAGCCGCUUCCACGGAGUCGAUCACAGCUUUGUCACAUGGACUCAAACUCCUCUUCCUCGUGCUCCUCUCUCACCAGUGGCAUCCACACUCCAAAUAUGAAAAGGAGGACUCGCUGCGGUCAACUGAGAGGAUUUGGAGUCUCCCAUUCAUGGAACGUAAUCAGGCAAUUAAUGACGAAACGCACAAAGGUCUAUUAGAUCGCGGCUGAGGAAGAAAAAAAAAAAGAAUAGAGGCAGGGGAGAAGUGUAGGGCUUGCUGGGAGGGGAAUAAAGGACGGCUGGAGGAAUGAAUGGUUUGAAAUUAAAUGAAGGAGUAGAGCAGAGGAUUAGGAACUCGAAAUUGGGAUAACAGAUGAGAAAGACGCCGAAUAAGGGAAAAAGGACAAUGACAAAGCAAGGGGAAGGUGGUGGCUGCAAAGAAACCAAUCUUGCUAUCAAACGUUGAACGACACGUACUGUUUGAUUUGACAUCAAAAGGAACAUUGGAUCUGAAAAGCAGGUGGAUAAAAAACCCCAAAACAUAACGCCUUCUUUUAAAAUAUCUGAAUUCAUUGAGAUUGUGGGCUAUUUUUUGUAUUGAUUUACACAAAAAAAUGGAAGAGAAAGGAAGACGUCACUCGUAGCAAACCAGACCGAAAGAAAUUAAAGGCAAUUAUAAACCUCCACAGACAAAGCUUUAUGACUCUCAGAAGGCGAUUUGAUUGCUCGUGACAUCAGCCUCCAAACAUUGGGAAAGACUGUUCCCACCUGCAGUGUACAGAGAUUGGUCCAUCCUGUCCAAACUGCUCCUUGGUUUUAUGCACCUGGCCAAUAAAAUCGAUGAAGCCCUCGCCAGAUUUGGGAACGCCCUGCUCAGGCCAGU